rnacentral:rRNA from 1 species
CCUCGCGAGAGCAAGCGGACCUCAUAAAGUGCGUCGUAGUCCGGAUUGGAGUCUGCAACUCGACUCCAUGAAGUCGGAAUCGCUAGUAAUCGUGGAUCAGAAUGCCACGGUGAAUACGUUCCCGGGCCUUGUACACACCGCCCGUCACACCAUGGGAGUGGGUUGCAAAAGAAGUAGGUAGCUUAACCUUCGGGAGGGCGCUUACCACUUUGUGAUUCAUG